rnacentral:lncRNA from 1 species
UGGCUGGGAGGGGGGUGUUUGGGGAGGGGUUGGGGGGUCCUUGCCACAUCCCCAAAGCUUGCGUGGGGAUUGAGCCUGUGCACCCCAUGGUGACCGCUGUGGGUAUGGGGUGGGGGCCUCCGUGUGCCCCCCCCCGUGGGAUUUUGGGGAUCCCCUGUGGAAUUUGGGGCUCCCCCAUGGGAUUUGGGUCUCCACCUUGCUCCUGUCCUCAUCCCGCCCUCCCCAAAUCCCUUGGGACCAUUUGGGGGGGGGGGCCCCGGUGGGUUCGGGGGGGGGGGGGGCGCCUCCAUCCCGUUGGCCCCGCAGAGUUGCGUGCGGGCGCCCCCCUCUCACCCAGUUCCUCCCGGCUUCUGCAUUAUGGCUUCUAUUUUUUUAUUACUUAUUUAUUUUAUUAUUAUUAUUUUUUUAUGAUCUGCCGUUCUUCCUGUUUCUGCCGGAGCGGGACGGGAAGCGCUGCCCGGCGUGGGGCGGCCGUGGGCGUGCGGGGGCAGCAGGGCCGGGACCGUGGCUGCGCCGUGGCUGCGCCGUGGCUGCACCGUGCCCCGUGCCAUAACCAAGCCGUGCGGUGCCGUGCCUGUGCCGCGGCCCCGAGCUGUGCAGUGCCGUGGCUUCACCGUGGCGGUGCCGUGGUUGCACCGUGGUGGUGCCGUGGCCGUUCUGUGUCUGUGCUGGGUCCAUGCCGUGGCCGUGCCGUGGUUGCACCGUGGCGGUGCUGGGUCCGUGCUGGGUUCAUGCUGUGGCCACACCAUGGCUGUGCCCUGAUGGUGCCAUGGUGGUGCCGUGGCCGUGCCGUGGUUGCGCCGUGGCUGUGCCGUGGCCGUGUUGUGUCUGUGCCAUGGCAGUGCCGUGUCUGCACCGUGGCUGUGCCAUGGCCACACCGUGUCCGUGCCAUGUCCAUGCCCCGGCAGUGCCCAGGCGGUGCCGUGUCCAUGUCCUGGUGGUGCCGUGGCCAUGCCAUGUCCAUGCUGUGGCCAUGCCGUGGCCGUGCCGUGGUGGCGGUGCCGCGUCCCGCCGGUGGCAGCCCGCUUGUGCUUGGCGCGGCCGAGCCCAGCAGCCAUUUGUCACGCUGGCUGCAGGAAGUUGGAGCAGCGCUGGGCUUUUGUUCCCAAACCUGCUGGCUAAGCACGGCCGCCGCCGCGCUCGCUCUUGCACAGACACACACGCGCCUCCGGGCUUUUUUUUUUUUUUUCUCAUUUUCUCUCAUUUUUUUUCCCUCCCUCUCCUUUUUUUUAUUUUUUUUUAGGGGGGAGGCUCGCAAGAAAAGCCCCGGCUGCUCACUUGCUGCCUGGGCUGAGGGGGGGGCCGUGCACGUGGGUGCUCACACGUGUGCACACGCAUGUGGCGGUGGUGCCCGCGAGGGUCUGG